GUGGAGUCCCGCAAGGAAACCACCGUGGGCCGUUGACACGCACACGCACACGCGCACACACAGAAGAAUCUCUAUUGUGGGUCACGGCUCCCUGAAGAGGCUUUUAUUGCUUGUAUUGAUCGCGCAGCGGGAUCAAUAUGUUUGGGGGGGUCUUCCUGCCCCAGAAGGACGGUGACGCACCGUCGCAGAGACGGCGCACAUUUAAAUGGACAGGUGGGGAGCUUCCCCGCCGGAUACCCGACACAUCCCGCCUGCCUAUACAGUGCUCCUGCGCGUGUCCACACAGACUGCGUGCACCCUGAUCCGGUCCGGCCCGGUGCCAGCUUGAUCGCGUUGGCGGUUGGAGCUGCUGCUAAGCGCUGGUGAAUCACGCCCGAGCAGGUUACCUUGCCGUAUAGCUGCCGGGGAAGCGGAGCAGCGACGGCUGCGUCCACCUCGCUGCCGCUGACCUUGGAGGUCACUCGCCAGGAAGGAGACAUUCAUCACUCUGACACUUCUGGGGGAAAGUGGAUGAUGCAACGGUUUAACAAACGCCUGCACUACUCUGUGUCCGGUGAAACAUCGGUCUUCCUUCUCUCCCUCUCAUGCCUCCUCUGCAUACGGUUGCUGCUGGUGGACAAAUAUCGACCGUCGUUGGACCAAGUGCCUGUUUGCUCCCCAGAAAAGACUCAUCGUGUUACAACAGAUUGAUGUCUUUGCCCCCAAGGACUUUAAUCUCCUUUCAAAUAAAAAAUGGAAACAAUCAUAGCUGCUGGUGGGGGUGACACUUUCAAUGAUGUAGCACACUCGCCAACUCCCCCCCCACUCCCACCCGCCCCAAACAGCGGAGUGACCUUGGCAGGUGUGUUCUUUGUUGAUUUUGAAGGAUGACAAAGUGAGAGGCUUUCAUAGCAUACUGUGUCCUCUCUUUCUCCCAGUCUCCUCUCUGUAGGGGGGGUGCUUCAUGUGUGUGUGUGGGUGUCUGUCAGUGUUCGUGCUUUGAAGAUGUGAUGCGGUCAUAAAAGGAGGGAAGGAAGCAGCUUAAAGAUGUGACGCAGAGAAUUAGAAAGAGACGGAUUGCACGAAUAAAGCAUUCAGAAAAGGCAAAAUAAUAUUUGCUGAAGCUGAAUUGUUCAAUUGAAUCAUUUGAAUCAAAGGCACACAAUUAUAUUGUGCGUACCAUGAAUGUGAUUAACGCUGUAUGGGGGUGUAAUGCCCACCCACACCGCUCACGUAUAUCACUUAUUAGAUAGAAAGCACCGUCACUUAUCUCUCUCUAUUAAUACACAAUCUAUGAUUGGGCUCAAACAUCAGCGUUAAAACGAUGCUGAAAGAGAAAAAGUUGUUGUGUUUGUUUUUGUCAAUGAUUUGCUACAAAUGUAAAACAUUGAUAGUUGAAUCUUUUGGUAAGAGACAUCUACCAUUUUUUAGAUCACUCUAGCAGUCACACACUAUGGGGACCAAAUGCUGUGCAGUGAAUGAGUAGAAGUAAACAAUACCAGUUAUCUUAUUUGAGGUCGAGGCGAAUGAGCUGCCAAAUGAAGUAGGAACACUGUCUUUUAACACGGAAACUCUACAAAGAUGCUGCAUCCCAUCAGACUUCACGGACUCCGCCAGAGCGACGCCGAUGGAUUCAAUGUGAUGAUUGACUCGCUGGGAUGGACUCGCGCUCCAUACUUUCACCCGCUGUCUCGCUACACUUGAAACGUGACGUUUAGCUCGGAGGCGUGAGGCCGCCGGUGGUUUUCAGAUUACUGCUGAACUGUCGGAAUAAUACGGGACAGAGGAGGACGAUGUUGGUAUGAACUAAUGUUCUCUCUAUCUGUGGAGUGGAUGUGUGAGACACACCGUGCCCACUCAUUCACAGAAGGAUCAGUGUGCAACAUAACAAAGAAAUAAAAUAACGUGUAUGCAGUGAUCGUCCUCAAAUUCAGUCACAGAAGUAUUUGCAUCCACAAAUGUGUAUUUUUGUAAGCAUUCAAUAGUAUCAGGGGGUGUAGUAUUAAGAAGUACCAGAAAUAUAUUUAUAUUUAGGCAUGAAAAUAAGGAUUGAAAUAGUUAUUGAUCAAUAACUUUAGGUCACUGUUCACACAAAAGUGUGACAAGCGUGUUUCCAGCACCUUUGCCUCCAUCGGUACAAACGCCUCUCUGCUCCUCAGAGAUCUCCCAGACGCGACGCCUCUUUGUCAUCAAAUGACACUUCGAUUGACCUCCUCCAUUCCCCGGAGUGAUCGGGCCGACGUGGCAUCGGUUCGACCUUUGAACUCUACCCUCAACCAGACAGUUCGGCUGGCGGCGGUCAUGAUUUAUCUUCUUGGAUUCCCAUUGACUGACUGCGAUCACAGAUCAAUGCCGCUGACGCUAACGGCCAAAGUGGAGGAACAAGCAGGUCAGAUUUUAUUCUCUCUAACAAUUUAGGGCUGUCUCUAACACACAAACACACACAGGGGACUUUGUGCUCCAUCCAUUGCGGGUCAAAUGAGGGUAUGACCUCAUCUCAGCUGCGUAAAAAGCACCGAUGACCAACAAUGAAAUACGGAAUAAAACGUCUUUAAAUAAGUCAAGUGUUCGGUUAGCUGUAAACGUCGCAAAUAAUGCGAUUAAAAUCAAUAUGAUGCAUUUUGGAGUGGAUGAUAAUGUAAAGUAUGUUCAUGUGAGGAUGUAAAUACUGUAUAUUCACUGUGUAGGAUUCGUUUUUGACAGUUUCCUAUUAUCUGUGCAGAGCAAAAAACUAAUAUUACAUUAAAAACUG
ensembl:lncRNA